AACUUUCAACAACGGAUCUCUUGGUUCUCGCAUCGAUGAAGAACGCAGCGAAAUGCGAUAAGUAGUGUGAAUUGCAGAAUUCAGUGAAUCAUCGAAUCUUUGAACGCACAUUGCGCCCUCUGGUAUUCCGGGGGGCAUGCCUGUCCGAGCGUCGUCA
rnacentral:rRNA from 2 species